rnacentral:rRNA from 1 species
AAGAUUAAGCCAUGCAUGUCUAAGUAUAAGCAAUUAUACGGCGAAACUGCGAAUGGCUCAUUAAAUCAGUUAUCGUUUAUUUGAUAGUACCUUACUACAAGGAUAACCGUGGUAAUUCUAGAGCUAAUACUUGCACAAAAUCCCGACUUCGGAAGGGAUGUAUUUAUUAGAUUAAAAACCAAUGCCCUCCGGGGCUCACUGGUGAUUCAUGAUAACUUUUCGAAUCGCAUGGCCUUGCGCCGGCGAUGGUUCAUUCAAAUUUCUGCCCUAUCAACUUUCGACGGCUGGGUCUUGGCCAGCCGUGGUGACAACGGGUAACGGAGAGUUAGGGCUCGACUCCGGAGAAGGAGCCUGAGAAACGGCUACUACAUCCAAGGAAGGCAGCAGGCGCGCAAAUUACCCAAUGACGACACGUCGAGGUAGUGACAAUAAAUACUGAUACAGGGCUCUUUUGGGUCUUGUAAUUGGAAUGAGUACAAUUUAAAUCCCUUAACGAGGAACAAUUGGAGGGCAAGUCUGGUGCCAGCAGCCGCGGUAAUUCCAGCUCCAAUAGCGUAUAUUAAAGUUGUUGCGGUUAAAAAGCUCGUAGUUGAACCUUGGGCCUGGCUGGCCGGUCCGCCUCACCGCGUGCACUGGUCCGGCCGGGCCUUUCCCUCUGGGGAACCGCAUGCCCUUCACUGGGUGUGUCGGGGAACCAGGACUUUUACUUUGAAAAAAUUAGAGUGUUCAAAGCAGGCCUAUGCUCGAAUACAUUAGCAUGGAAUAAUAGAAUAGGACGUGCGGUUCUAUUUUGUUGGUUUCUAGGACCGCCGUAAUGAUUAAUAGGGACAGUCGGGGGCAUCAGUAUUCAAUUGUCAGAGGUGAAAUUCUUGGAUUUAUUGAAGACUAACUACUGCGAAAGCAUUUGCCAAGGAUGUUUUCAUUAAUCAGGAACGAAAGUUAGGGGAUCGAAGACGAUCAGAUACCGUCGUAGUCUUAACCAUAAACUAUGCCAACUAGGGAUCGGACGAUGUUAUUAUUUGACUCGUUCGGCACCUUACACGAAAGUACAAG